GUAGAACUUUAUCCAGAGCCAAUAAAAUUUCCAGACUCGUUAAUAACUUUCAGCAGAAGAAAAUGAAAUACCUUGAACUGGUGCAGCUUCUCCUGCUGCUCGAGGCUUAAAGCGCCCAAAUCGAGCUUCUCCAGAGUGUUUCUCUCCGCCAUCUAUGCGUCUCUGCGCCAGUGUCUCCAGGCACCUGAUGUUGACGUGCGUUACGCAUUCCGUUGCCAAGCAACAUACACUUAGAAUUUGUGCUAACGCGAUGUUUAAACUUGAUUGUGCUCAUUUGUGUGAUUUGAAUAUAGUAGUUUUAUGCAAAUAAAUAAAUAAAUAAACAUCUCCGUUUAUGGGCUCACUUCUCAGUGAGCUGAGUUGGAUGAUAUCAUUUAUGAUGAAAUGAUCAUAUAAUUUACUCCAUUUACCAACGCGUCAUGGCAAGCGGUGACUCACUGACUCUGCCUAACACCGAGACAGAUGGCAUGUAAAGCUGUUGUCCACCGGAAUGCAGCUGGUGUUUAGGAUUGGACUUGGAACCAUGUCAGCUGUUUCAGUAAUGUUACACAUUAAUAACACAUCUGCAAACCUGUACACACAAAAAGUGAAGAAAACAUCUAUAUUUUUUUCUGAACUGUGGAUUACUAUGCUGUUUGGAUGAAGAAAACUGUGGCCUGUACUUGUCUGAGAAUGGACACCAGCUUGCAUCAAAAAUCCCUGCCACUUUCUCCUGAUCAAGAGAGGGAGAGAGAAGAAAUAAUAAAGAAAGACUCUCAUGCGACCUCUUCUUGGUGUCCCCAGACCAUUUUGAAAACACCUGGUCUAAAGAGACAUGUAAUCUGUCUUUGAAAUCCAUUUUAUUUUUAUUCAAAUUCCC
ensembl:lncRNA